UUCUUCAGCUGAAUGAGUCUUACCAUAUCUACUUUUGUCUUGCAGCUCUUAACACAUAAAAAGCAAUAUGGCAGGUCAGUAUUUGCCUCUUUCUACUCUAGUCUACAUUCAAGAAAGAUGUCUAUGGUGACUGUGUAAUUCCAAAAUUCGGACAAAAUAACUCAAAAAUAUUACUGAAUAAAUAAACAUAAAUAUAUGAAUUAAAAAUAUGUCCCUGUAUUUAGCUAACUAUCCUUAAAAAAAUAGAAAAAGUGGCAUCUAAAUUGGCAUAUUUUAUUAGGUGCGAGCUUUGAGCAGGAGUUUCUGGAUACCCACAAUGCAUACAGGAGAAAGCAUGGCACCCCCGAACUGACCCUGAGCAGAGACCUGUGCAACUCUGCUCAGGAAUGGGCUGACCACUUGGUAGCAAUCAAUACCAUGCAGCACAGCAACACGAACAAUGGAGAGAACCUCUACUACACAUGGAGCUCUGCCCCCAAUACUCUAACAGGGAAGGAGGCUGUCGACAACUGGUACAGCGAGAUGAAAGACUACAACUUCAGCAAACCUGGAUUCACCUCAAACACUAGUACACUGUUAUUACACAUCUUUCUGGAAAAUGUGUGGUUUGAGAUCAGGUGUUUAGAACGCAAAUUAUGUCGAACUUAAACAGAAAGCUUUCAACCAUAUUGGAUAUAACAAAGCCAAGACCCAGAGAUGCCGCUUUAAUCGUAACCUUAUAUGUAUUGUGGCAUUUCUCCAAUAGGCCAUUUCACCCAGGUGGUGUGGAAAGAGAGUACUGAGGUGGGGGUGGGCCUGGGGAUUAAUGGCGAGACUGUCUUUGUGGUAGGCCAGUACAACCCAGCAGGAAACAUGAACAUGGAGGGAUACUUUAUAAAUAACGUCCUCCCUGAAGGUGGCGGCGAGAAGAACACCUCUGGUUCAGACACCUCAAGCCAACCACCUCGCUCCGAGGCAACAUGCACUGUGCUAUAGGAGCCAUAGUGAUCAGCCUUCUCCUGUCUGCAUGUCGACGGACCCUCAUCGUUGGUCAUAUUGGUCUGCAGCUGCUUCACUCCGUAACAGGCGUACCAAUCGACACAAACCAUCCCCAAUCACCUUCACUGUAAGAAAGACGUACGGUUUUGUGUACUUUAAAUGAAAAAUAAAGUUUUGCUUUUACUUUACAAGACAUCCGUAUUGAAUUGUAAUGUUGUCAUAAG